rnacentral:lncRNA from 1 species
CUAAAGAUAGUUUUAAUCCUUCAACUGAGGAUUCAUGUCCUUUGACCAUUUAUCAACCACAGAAUGCCUUAUAUUCUUAUAAGUUUGACUCACUUCUCUAUAUAUUUGAGAAAUGAGGGCUUUGCCAAAGACUUUUUUUUGCUGUAAAAAAAAUUCCCCAAUUUGUGUUUUCUGUUCUAAUCUUAGUUGCUUUGGUGCAGAAACUUUUUAACUUAAUGUAGUCAAUGUUAUCUAUUUUACAACCUGUAAUGUUCUCUAUAUCUUGUUUGGUAUUAAUUUCUUCCCUUGUUCAUAGAUUUGACAAGUAAACUAUCUUGUGCUCCCCUGAUUUGUAUAUGGUAUCACCCUUUAUUCUAAAACAUGCAUCCAUUGUGACCUUAUCUUGGUAUAUGGCAUAACGUGUUGAUUUAUGCCUAAUUUCUGCCAUAUUGUGCUCCAAUUUUCCCAGCAGUUUUCAUGAAAUAAAUUCUGGAAGCAGCAAUUGGCAUCAAGGAGUCUGACUAUCUCUUCUUAUGAGCCUAGUACAUGAGAGAAUUUUAAUUCCUGGCACUUUGAAUCACCUACCCAAAACUUCACUCCUCCACUCCACAAGUAUGGAGUCUUCUGUUAAUCUCUCUGCACAAUUUAGUAACCAGAUUAAACAGCUCAGUUUCAUUGGACAACAUGUGAGUAUUUUUUAAUAUUAACAACUAGUUAAGAAGUAUAAGUACAGUUAAUAAUCAUGAUACAAUCAUUAUCUCAUUUAAAGCCCAUCAAUUUAAUAGCCCUUAAAAUCUCUAUGAUUCCUUCUACUGCUGUUUUAGGAAAUUGACUUUAGUUGAAAAUUUGGAAGUGCUAUCACAAUUGCUCUGUGUAAGUUCAGAAAAGAAGCAAUCUCUUCUUCAGACUUCCUUCAGCUCUCAUCUUCUACUUCCAGUUAACUGUAAAGCCAAUAGUUUACUUCUAAGAUUCUUUCUCUGCCAUAGCUCAGCCCUUCUUUUUCACCUUAGAGGUGUACAAAUGCAAAUGGCCCCACAUUUGAUCCAACUUCUCCACUUCUUCUGAAUCUCUCCUAGGAGAUAUAUGUACUUUUAUACAAAUUUCUAAGGUCAUACAAUGACUUUGAUUGAUUCUUGUAGGUGUACAGGUCUUGUUCACAUUGGCUUUGAUUGAUUCAAUAAAGCAGAGUUCUUAUUUAACA